CCUACGGGUGGCUGCAGUGGGGAAUAUUGGACAAUGGGGGCAACCCUGAUCCAGCGACGCCGCGUGUGUGAAGAAGGCCUGCGGGUUGUAAAGCACUUUUAGUGGGGAGGAAGGUCUGCGACCUAACACGUCGUGGAAUUGACUUAACCCACAGAAAAAGCACCGGCUAACUCUGUGCCAGCAGCCGCGGUAAUACAGAGGGUGCAAGCGUUAAUCGGAGCGACCGGGGGCAAAGUGGGCAGAGGCGGGUGAAAGCCCCGGGCUCAACCUGGGAAUUGCAUUCGAGACUGCGAAGCUGGAGUGCGGAAGAGGGAAGUGGAAUUUCCGGUGUAGCGGUGAAAUGCGUAGAUAUCGGAAGGAACAUCAGUGGCGAAAGCGACUUCCUGGUCCAGCACUGACGCUCAGGCACGAAAGCGUGGGGAGCAAACAGGAUUAGAUACCCUUGUAGUC
rnacentral:rRNA from 1 species